rnacentral:rRNA from 1 species
UGCCAGCAGCCGCGGUAAUACGGAGGGGGCGAGCGUUAUUCGGAAUUACUGGGCGUAAAGGGUGCGUAGGCGGCCCAUCAAGUUAGACGUGAAAGCCCCGGGCUCAACCUGGGAACUGCACCUGAUACUGCCAGUCUUGAGUACAGUAGAGGGCAGUGGAAUUUCCUGUGUAGCGGUGAAAUGCGUAGAUAUAGGAAGGAACACCAGUGGCGAAGGCGACUGCCUGGACUGAUACUGACACUGAGGUGCGAAAGCGUGGGGAGCAAACAGGAUUAGAUA